GGCUGUAGCCCAGUGGCAGAGCAUCCGCUUUAUAUGUGGAAGGUCCCAGGUUCAAUCCCCAGCAAGGUCU